CCAGAAUCUUCGGCAAGAACCUCACGUAAUCGCCGACUUUGAGGAUCGGGGUAUAUGUAAGGAAAUUUCAAAGACCCCAAAGCUUCAAACACCUCUGGAGGUGGUCCAUAAGGGUUCUCAUUUGCAUCUAAUUUAACAAUAUCCUCAGGCUUCCUGCCAAGAUUAGCCGACAAAACCUCAAAAGGUAAAAUAGGUUGAUAAGGGGACAAUUUUCUCAAAUGUGAACGGAUAAACGAGUCGCCAGUCAACUUCUGUUGAGCAGGUAGAGUGGAGGCCAUGGCAAUGACCUUUCUUUCAUUAUUCACUUCGAAAGAGAAAUUGGGUCUUCGAGGCACCAAAAAUUGGUGAAGAAUGUUGUUGGAUUUAAUCAAACAGAUAGAGGCAGUGCUGUAGAUAUCAAUCACACCCAUGAAUAUCCGGAAGUGAGAAGAAAAGAUUGAAUCUUUUUGAGAAGUGAGAAAUGCGUGAUUAUGGAGGAAGAAGCCAAGAUGGG
rnacentral:misc_RNA from 1 species